AUUGAACGCUGGCGGCAUGCUUUACACAUGCAAGUCGAACGGUAACAGGCCGCAAGGUGCUGACGAGUGGCGAACGGGUGAGUAAUGCAUCGGAACGUGCCGAGUAGUGGGGGAUAACGCAUCGAAAGGUGUGCUAAUACCGCAUACGAACUGAGGUUGAAAGCGGGGGACCUUCGGGCCUCACGCUAUUCGAGCGGCCGACGUGUGUGUAGCUAGUUGGUGAGGUAAAGGGUCACCAAGGCGACGAUCAGUAGCGGGUCUGAGAGGAUGAUCCGGCACACUGGGACUGAGACACGGCCCAGACUCCUACGGGAUGCAGCAGUGGGGAAUUUUGGGCAAUGGGCGCAAGCCUGAUCCAGCCAUGCCGCGUGUCUGAAGAAGGCCUUCGGGUUGUAAAGGACUUUUGUCCGGGAGCAAAUACUGGUGGCUAACAUCCACCGGAGCUGAGAGUACCGGAAGAAUAAGCACCGGCUAACUACGUGCCAGCAGCCGCAGUAACAC
rnacentral:rRNA from 1 species